rnacentral:rRNA from 2 species
GAGCGAAAGCGACGUUCAACCGCAAAACAAGCAGAGGGGGCUUAGUGGUGGGGUGACUGCGUACCUUUUGUAUAAUGGGUCAGCGACUUAUAUUCUGUAGCAAGGUUAACCGAAUAGGGGAGCCGGAGGGAAACCGAGUCUUAAUUGGGCGUUAAGUUGCAGGGUAUAGACCCGAAACCCGGUGAUCUAGCCAUGGGCAGGUUGAAGGUUGGGUAACACUAACUGGAGGACCGAACCGACUAAUGUUGAAAAAUUAGCGGAUGACCUGUGGCUGGGGGUGAAAGGCCAAUCAAACCGGGAGAUAGCUGGUUCUCCCCGAAAGCUAUUUAGGUAGCGCCUCGUGAAUUCAUCUCCGGGGGUAGAGCACUGUUUCGGCUAGGGGGCCAUCCCGGCUUACCAACCCGAUGCAAACUGCGAAUACCGGAGAAUGUUAUCACGGGAGACACACGGCGGGUGCUAACGUCCGUCGUGAAGAGGGAAACAACCCAGACCGCCAGCUAAGGUCCCAAAGUCAUGGUUAAGUGGGAAACGAUGUGGGAAGGCCCAGACAGCCAGGAUGUUGGCUUAGAAGCAGCCAUCAUUUAAAGAAAGCGUAAUAGCUCACUGGUCGAGUCGGCCUGCGCGGAAGAUGUAACGGGGCUAAACCAU